AUUGAACGCUGGCGGCAGGCCUAACACAUGCAAGUCGAACGAGUGGCGGACGGGUGAGUAAUGUCUGGGAACCUGCCUGAUGGAGGGGGAUAACUACUGGAAACGGUAGCUAAUACCGCAUACCAUCAGAUGUGCCCAGAUGGGAUUAGCUAGUUGGUGGGGUAACGGAUCACCAAGGCGACGAUCCCUAGCUGGUCUGAGAGGAUGACCAGGCACACUGGAACGGGUACGCGGUCCAGACCCCUACGGGAGGCAGCGGUGGGGAGAAUAGCACAGUGGGCGGAGGGCUGAUGCGACCAUGCCGCGUGUAUGAAAGGGGCCAUCGUGUUGUAGAGGACUUUCAGCGGGGAGGCGUUACCCGAAGAAGAAGCACCGGCUAACUCCGUGCCAGCAGCCGCGGUAAUAC
rnacentral:rRNA from 1 species